GAUGAACGCUGGCGGCGUGCCUAAUACAUGCAAGUCGAGCGAACAGACGAGGAGCUUGCUCCUCUGACGUUAGCGGCGGACGGGUGAGUAACACGUGGAUAACCUACCUAUAAGACUGGUAUAACUUCGGGAAACCGGAGCUAAUACCGGAUAAUAUAUUGAACCGCAUGGUUCAAUAGUGAAAGACGGUUUUGCUGUCACUUCUAGCUGGAUCCGCGCCGCAUUAGCUAGUUGGUAAGGUAACGGCUUACCAAGGCGACGAUGCGUAGCCGACGUGAGAGGGUGAUCGGCCACACUGGAACUGAGACACGGUCCAGAGUACUACGGGAGGCAGCAGUAGGGAAUCUUCCGCAAUGGGCGAAAGCUUGACGGAGCAACGCCGCGUGAGUGAUGAAGGUCUUCGGAUCGUAAAACUCUGUUAUUAGGGAAGAACAAAUGUGUAAGUAACUAUGCACGUCUUGACGGUACCUAAUCAGAAAGCCACGGCUAACUACGUG
rnacentral:rRNA from 1 species